rnacentral:lncRNA from 1 species
AGGAGGCCCCUGGUGGGGAAGGGGCGAAUUAGAGGGGGGAGGGUGUCUCCUAGGUACGUGGAUGUGGAAAACUAAGGUGUCAGUGGGGAGUGGGGACCCACCAUUGGGGACCCGUCAUCCGAGUGAUAAAGGGUCAAGGAGUAAGUAGGCUGGGGGGGGGGGGGUUGGGGAAGGGAAUGAGUGAGGGGUAAGGGGUCGCGAGGAAAAAAUCCAAGGCCUCGCAUACAAGUGGAAAGGACGCGCGCCGCAGCCCCGGAGCCGCCUGUCGCUCGCCCCCGCCUUCCCUUUUGCGCAGAAUCCUCCCCUUGGCUGCAGCAGCGCGCUGCCCCCACCGGCCCGGCGCGCCGUGAUCGAUCGCAGGCUGCGUCAGAAUGCUCCCCGCGUAUAAAUAGGGGUGGCAGGACCGCGCCGAGCCGCACACAGCCAUCCACCUUCCCCUCUCCCACUCCCUCUCUCCCCGUUCUUCUCUCUGUAGGCCCCCAUCUCCGCCGCCGGCCGGAGGGGCUCCGACCGCCACCAUGAGUUCCUUCAGCUAUGAGCCGUACUACUCGACCUCCUACAAGCGGCGCUACGUGGAGACGCCCCGGGUGCACAUCUCCAGCGUGCGCAGCGGCUACAGCACCGCGCGCUCCGCUUACUCCAGCUACUCUGCGCCGGUCUCCUCCUCGCUGUCCGUGCGCCGCAGCUACUCGUCCAGCUCCGGCUCCUUGAUGCCCAGUCUCGAGAACCUCGACCUGAGCCAGGUAGCCGCCAUCAGCAACGACCUCAAGUCCAUCCGCACCCAGGAGAAGGCGCAGCUGCAGGACCUCAACGACCGCUUCGCCAGCUUCAUCGAGCGCGUGCACGAGCUGGAGCAGCAGAACAAGGUGCUGGAAGCCGAGCUGCUGGUGCUGCGCCAGAAGCACUCCGAGCCCUCCCGCUUCCGGGCGCUGUACGAGCAGGAGAUCCGCGACCUGCGCCUGGCGGCGGAAGACGCCACCAACGAGAAGCAGGCGCUCCAGGGCGAGCGCGAAGGGCUGGAGGAGACUUUGCGCAACCUGCAGGCGCGCUAUGAAGAGGAGGUGCUGAGCCGCGAGGACGCCGAGGGCCGGCUGAUGGAAGCGCGCAAAGGAGCCGACGAGGCCGCGCUCGCCCNCCGGGGGGCCCCCCCCCCCCCGCGCCGAGCUCGAAAAGCGCAUCGACAGCCUGAUGGACGAAAUCGCCUUCCUGAAGAAAGUGCACGAAGAGGAGAUCGCCGAGCUGCAGGCGCAGAUCCAGUACGCGCAGAUCUCCGUGGAGAUGGACGUGUCCUCCAAGCCCGACCUCUCCGCCGCGCUCAAGGACAUCCGCGCUCAGUACGAGAAGCUGGCCGCCAAGAACAUGCAGAACGCCGAAGAGUGGUUCAAGAGCCGCUUCACGGUGCUGACCGAGAGCGCCGCCAAGAACACCGACGCGGUGCGCGCCGCCAAGGACGAAGUGUCCGAGAGCCGCCGCCUGCUCAAGGCCAAGACCCUGGAGAUCGAAGCAUGCCGGGGCAUGAACGAAGCGCUGGAGAAGCAGCUGCAGGAGCUGGAGGACAAGCAGAACGCCGACAUUAGUGCUAUGCAGGUACCGCACCGUGCAAAACACGGUGGGGGCGGGGAGGGAGCUGCAGGAGCAAGUUGUGGGGGUGGGUGGGGGGAGGGUGGAGAGUCGAGGGCGCGCCCAGGAAGUGGAGGCCAGGGAGGGGGCGUCCGCUAGCAGCCAGUGGGGAGCAGAACUUGACUCCCUGGAGACUGUGUGGGAGGGGUGGGGCAUUUGGAGGGCGGGGGCGGGGGUGCGACUGCAGUCUGAGGGGACGGGUUCGGUGCAGUUGAAUUUACUCCGCAUUAAAGCUGCCCCGCCCUGCGAGGGUAGGGUGGGGUGGGUGCAGGGGUGGAUCUGGGCGUUGCCUCUGGCCUGCCUCUCUACUGUCUUUCAUCAACCACGAGUCGCUUUGCGGCACAGAUUGGACCAUCUGCUUACCAAAUUCGGCAGGGAGCUCUCAUUAGUUCCGAAGGAUACCUGUGCCCAACCAUGCUUUAGGGACUGGUUUUAUCAACCACUCCUUUCCCUCAGGUAGACAGGAAUGCAGUCCAAACUGUAGUAGGUAAUGAUGUUCGCAGUAAAACAUUUCUUUUCUUUUUUUAAAGGAUUUUCCUUUUCUGGGAAGGAGAAAAAGUAAUGUCAACCCCCAGAAAAUAUUUCAGAUGAAAUUAGUAUUGUUUCUUAUCUAGCUGCUUCCUACUCGUGUGAAGAAAUGGAGUAAUUUCUUGCACGUGAUUUUGGAGUCAAGUUGACUAAUGAAUGUGAAACAAAGUUUUUUAAAUCAAUGAAAAAUAUUUUUGCAGGCAUUGUACGGUGAUCAUUAGACUGUGGUAAUGAAAAGAAAACCAAGAAUUUUUCUCCCAUCAGAUGAAAAAACAAAUUUCUUUUUGUUUUCAUUUCAUGCUUCCUGAAGCGAGAUUUGUUUGCUUGUUUGUUUUUCUAAUCCAAGUAAGGAAAGGUUAAACAAGAGAAAAGGCAGUUCUUUUAGGGGGGAUUUUUAUCUGAGGCGUGCACUUGGGUUGUAAGUAGGUUAGGCCUUUGCAGCCAUACUGCAGUAAAAUGAUAGCAGUCGGAUUUAUGCUCAGAUUCCCCCCCACUCCCCAUCCUCCACCAGGACACAAUCAACAAAUUAGAAAAUGAAUUGAGAACCACAAAGAGCGAAAUGGCCCGAUACCUUAAAGAAUACCAAGACCUCCUCAACGUGAAGAUGGCUUUGGACAUUGAGAUUGCAGCUUACAGGUAAAAACAAGGGUGGGGUGGUAGGAGCCGUUCAGCUUUAGGAAGAAAAUCAUAUUUCAUUCACAUUGAGUCAGAAACCUUCAAGACUAGUCCUUUGAAAUAGACGUUUGCUUUCUGGCUUUUUCCAAGAAGAAGGUGAUUAUUAGACAAACAUGGAAGAAUUUGACCCUGGGAUCGUGAGUUCUGCUCUUGGUGUCUCAUUACACUUUAAAUCGAAGAGACAGGACUGUUUUCAGUUUGUUUGUCAUUUGUGUGUUUGCUUGUUUUUCUGCUUUUUUUUUCUUCUUCCUGGUGUCGGGCACAACAUCCCCAGACAUGAGGUUUCCAUAAUUCCCAGCCCUGCUCCUGCUCCCCUUUGCCUUUAAGGGUGGCAUUAGGGGAAGAGGGGUCGUGGUGGGCUCAGAUAGGGCAAGUAAUUCACCACACUUCCUGUGUUCUUGUUCAUUAACCCCAUCCUCCCGUGCCUUCCCAGGAAACUCUUGGAAGGUGAGGAGACCCGGCUCAGUUUCACCAGCGUGGGAAGCAUCACCAGCGGCUAUUCCCAGAGCUCUCAGGUCUUUGGCCGAUCUGCCUACGGCGGUUUACAGACCAGCUCCUACCUGAUGUCUGCGCGCUCCUUCCCGUCUUACUACACCAGCCACGUCCAAGAGGAGCAGAUCGAGGUGGAGGAGACCAUUGAGGCUGCAAAGGCCGAGGAAGCCAAGGACGAACCCCCCUCUGAAGGAGAAGCUGAGGAGGAGGAGAAGGAGAAGGAGGAGGCUGAGGAGGAGGAAGGAGCCGAAGAGGAAGAAGGUAUGAUAAAAAAGAAAUCCCCACAACUUCCAGAACAGUCAGGGCGUGGAUAUUUGCCAGGAGAUGGGUAAGGGGAAGUGAAGCCGCCCUUAUGCCGAGAAGUCUUAUUCAUAUAUAUAUGACUUUAGAAUCUUAAAUGAUCCCUUUUAUCUAGUUAUCCGGCAAGCCCCGGAGUAAGUGUCUGAUUUCUCAAAUUGGUUGCCCUCUCAGCGGUACGCGUCUCCCUCCGCCCAGCUUGGGAGUUUGUUGAGAAUAGCAUUUCAAAAUACCCUCCUCCUGCUGUCCCUUCAUUCCCCGUGAACAUUUCAGCAGUCUGUUUAACCCGGCGGUUGGGUGGCCGAGAGAACGGAAGUAGUUUUUUUAAAUAAGCGUUUGCCUUUUGGCUUCUUCGAAGAAGAAGGUAUUAGUGGCCAGUGUUCAGCACGGUCCGUUGUGUGUGUUUGGGGAGGUGGACCUGAGAGAUUUGGGGGAGGGCGUUCUGACAUUCGGGUUUUCACACAGAACCUUAGCAGAAAGGCGUGGACCGACGUACCCCGGAUUUGGAGUUUGUAAACUUUCUCUUUAUGUUAAAGCUGCCAAGGAAGAAUCCGAGGAGGCCAAGGAGGAAGAAGAAGGAGGCGAAGACGAAGGAGAAGAAACCAAAGAAGCUGAGGAGGAGGAGAAGAAAGACGGAGGUGCUGGGGAGGAACAAGCCACUAAAAAGAAAGAUUGAGCCCCUCUUUCCUUAAUUGUUCCAGGAAGAAUUCUCCCGAAAUCAGGUCAACCCCAUCGCCGACCAACCAGUUGAGUUCCAGAUAUUAUAUGAAUUAAGAAGUCAAUAUAUGUAUAAUUCUGAGAUGACUUAGGUUGGACUUUAAAUGUUGUGCUAUGACUUUUUUCCUUAUGCAGAGUAUCCGUUUGCUUGCAGAGUGGCUUCCUGGCUCGCUGCCAGCCUGUGCAUGGUCCACGCUUAUGAGUUCAGGAUCUAUGGCAAUGUGAAUAAUUCAGAUGUUUACAAUAAAAAACACACACACACAUGAAUAAAUGAAUUCACUAAUGUUAAUGUUAAACUUCAUGGUAAAAAUAGCCCUUUGAGCCUUUGGUGGUUAGAAAUUAAAGACCUCGAAUUAUGUGCAAUAAAUAGUAAAUAAAGUUACACUGAAUGUCAUUUCUUGCUGUGGUUGUUGACUUACUUAAAAUAUCUUAAAGAAGGCACCAGUCGAAGGCAUAUACAAGUGGACUGUCGACCUCCAAAUUUUUACGAUGUCCAAAUUUUAACAAUUACAAUGCAUUCCCCCCCCGAUUGGUAACUCUGAGGGAUACAUUUAGGACAUGACCGUUCAUGAAAUCUCUCCCCUGGAAAAUUUUGCUGGUAAUGAACUUGAGUAAAUGAGAAUUUCUGGGGUCUUUCUUUCAUAAUUAGCAAUAUACUUUGCCCCGUAAAAUGUACUGUGUAACGUUGGGAAUGGUUUUCUUGGAGGCAAUGGUGUAAUAUGAUAAAAACACCUUUUGGGGUAAAUAGGUAACUUAAUAAUAUGAUAUGGAUAGAAGAUGAAUCCCACCCAUCCAUUAUUAUAACCGCAUUAUUUUGAUAUAGUCUGAAUAUUAUGAGCAGAAGUUGAAACCCAAGCAGUUGAU